UAAGUAAGUCAGAUAGUCGCAAGCACAGAAUCGAAAGGUUGUGUUUGAGGAACGUCCGAGCUUCAUAGAGCAGAGUGCUGGAUAACACCCAGUGGAGGCGACUCUAAGGAAAGUGCAACAGAAAUAAACCACCUACAUUAUGUAGGAAAGGAUGGAAAGGCGAGGUAAGAGCUCACCGUCUUCUUGGUGACAAGAAGAGCAAUGUAAACCCCACUUGAAGCAAGACCGUAUAAAGACUUUUGUGGCUGCUCGUCACGUCUUAGGUAGGUCGCUAAAGUGUCUAGGUAACUAGGCACAUAGAUAGAUGACUGUCAAAUACAGAACUCGGCGUAUAGAUUUGGUUACAUU
rnacentral:RNase_P_RNA from 2 species